rnacentral:rRNA from 1 species
ACGGAGGGUGCAAGCGUUAUUCGGAAUUACUGGGAGUAAAGCGCGUGUAGGCGGUCCUGCAAGUCUGAUGUGAAAGCCCCGGGCUUAACCCGGGAAGUGCAUUGGAAACUGCAGGUCUUGAGUACUGGAGAGGAUGGGGGAAUUCCCGGUGUAGAGGUGAAAGUCGGAUAGAUCGGGAGGAAUAUCAGGGGCGAAGGCGCGGAUCGGGACGGUAACUUACGCUGAUACGCGAAAGCUAGGGGAGCGAUCAG